rnacentral:tRNA from 1 species
AGUAAAAUGCCUGAAAAAAGGGUUAUCGUGAUAGGAUAAAUAAUGUAAUCCUAUUACUUUUACUA